GUGGGGGAUAUUGCACAAUGGGGGAAACCCUGAUGCAGCGACGCCGCGUGAAGGAAGACGUACUUCGGUAUGUAAACUUCUAUCAGCAGGGAAGAAGAUGACGGUACCUGACUAAGAAGCCCCGGCUAACUACGUGCCAGCAGCCGCGGUAAUACGUAGGGGGCAAGCGUUAUCCGGAUUUACUGGGUGUAAAGGGAGCGUAGACGGUGAAGCAAGUCUGAUGUGAAAACCCGGUGCUCAACUCCGGGAUUGCAUUGGAAACUGUUUUACUUGAGUGCUGGAGGGGCAAGCGGAAUUCCUUGUGUAGCGAUGAAAUGCGUAUAUAUCAGGAAUAACACCGGUGGCGAAGGCGGCUUGCUGGACAGUAACUGACGUUGAGGCUCGAUAGCGUGGGUAGCAAACAGGAUUAGAUACCCUUGUAGUCC
rnacentral:rRNA from 1 species